rnacentral:tRNA from 1 species
UCGGUUGUGGUCUAGUGGUUAGGAUUUGCGGCUCUCACCAGCAAGGCCCGGGUUCGGUUCACGGCAACGGAG